rnacentral:rRNA from 1 species
UACGUAGGUGGCAAGCGUUGUCCGGAAUUAUUGGGCGUAAAGCGCGCGCAGGCGGCCUCUUAAGUCUGAUGUGAAAUCUUGCGGCUCAACCGCAAGCGGCCAUUGGAAACUGGGGGGGCUUGAGUACAGAAGAGGAGAGUGGAAUUCCACGUGUAGCGGUGAAAUGCGUAGAUAUGUAGAGGAACACCAGUGGCGAAGGCGACUCUCUGGUCUGUAACUGACGCUGAGGCGCGAAAGCGUGGGGAGCAAACAGG